CAACCAAUCAGGAUCUAGGUCUCAGAAAACCAGAGUGAGACACGGAGACAGGGGAUACUGACUCUCACUCCUUAUCAUCUCUUCAACAUCUCUUCCAGAGAAAACACAGUAGUCUGAGAGAAGUCAGCAGAAACUUUUCUCCUACAGAAGCCGCAAGAAACAACUUUAAAGAAUGGCUAAAUGCAGUUCUUCAUUGUGAAAAAAAAUGACAACAGAAAAAAUCCUGGGGCAUCAGAAAGGGAUGAAAAACAAUGGAAAGUGCAGAUAUACGGAUACAUACAAUGGGCCACCCUCCUCAUAAGUUUUCUAGAUCAUAUGUGAUGACUGAAAGAAUUAUAGCAACAGCUGAUACACAAAGC
ensembl:lncRNA